rnacentral:tRNA from 1 species
GGAUAUAGCUCAGUGGUAGAGUGCUUCCUUGGCAAGCAAAAGGUCCUGAGUUCAAUCCCCAAUACCUCCA